AAGGGAGGAAAGAGAAAAAAAGGGAGGAAAGAGAAAUUCAGAAAAAAUUUCAGAAAAUUAAGGGAGGAAAGAGAAAAGCUUUGAAAUUCAAAAACCUAAGAGAAAUUGAAGAUCCCCACCACCGACCACCGCAAGAGCACGGCACCACCGAGUCACCGACCGCCGGAUUUCUCGCCGCAACACCGCCACAGCGCCACUACAGUCAAGGCGUCAACACCUGAAGAAAUUUCUGAAAUUCUGCAAAUUAAAUCACAAACGAAUUCUACUUAGUCCUAGUUUAUCUCCAUCAAAAUUUUUGUACUUCAAAAUUCAAUGGAGUAACAAGCUGAGGAUAACGAAAACCCCACUCAAAACCCUCUGUUUCCGGAAAAAGUCGUACAAACUAAUUUGUGGAGAGAGGAAAUGAUUUGAGGUGAAUGAAACUCCUCUAUAUGUCAGGUUGUUCUUUUUUUUUUUUUUUUUGAUUUUUUUCUAAUCUUUUUAUCUUAGAUUAUAAAAAAUUAUAGAAUUAGUUUAUGAGUAAUUAUGUUUAUGAAAUCAUGUUUUUGAAUUAAUUUUGAUUUAGUUUAUUUCUUAUUAGUAUUGUUUACCCGUUUUUUUAAAAAAGAAACAGGUUGAUGUUAGUUGAAUUAACGAAAUUGUCCCUCUAUUGUCAAAUUUCUAGGUCCGCCACUGAAUAUAUGUGUGCCUAAGUGAUGUAUGUUGUUAUUGAAUUAUGGUGCAUGUCAGUAUCAUUACGCGUUCUUUCUUCUACUUAUUAGCUAGUUGUGCAUAUGAGGAUGACCGGCUUGGAUUGAGUCUUGAGGAUUCAGGUGCCACAACAUAAUGCACUUACAACUUUAACAUUUCUCAAAUUAAUGCACAUUGCUCCACCAUACACUGUCAACCACCCACAAAUUAAACACCGAGAAGAAUGUUGAGCACCCACAUAAUAAUUGUCCGGGGACGAGCAUUAAGAUGUCAAGGUUUUUCAUUUUAAAUUCGAUUUUUAUUAAGGUUAUAGUAUAGAUCUAGUUAUUUUUGUUUUUAUUUUUAAUUCAAGUCUUCGAUUAUAAUUAAUUUGUUGAUAUAAUUGUAAUUUUAUUACAUUGUUUGAGAUAAUUGUAAUUUUUUUUAGACGUUUUUAUAUGUGUAAGUUUAAUUUAUAGUU